AAAAAAAAAAAAAAAAAAAAAAAACAGAUUCAAACAUUUCUUCUGGCCUUCUCCAGAACAAACCAAAUUCAAUCAAAUCCUCUUUUUCUUCCUUCAUCUCCACACAAAAUCCCAAAUCCCUAAGAGAAUCGUUUAAUCCGAUCUCAUCAAAAUGGAAGAAGAAGUUAAAAAAAUCAUAGAUGAGGUCAAAGAGCUUCACGAUUCAUCCGCUUCUUUCAUCUCACGUUCCUCUCAACAAGAGCUUUCUCUCCGUCAACAAGCCUCCGCCGUCGAUUCAUCAAUCCGUCGUCUCCACUCUUCACUCCUCUCCAACAAAAACCUCGACCCUAAGCUCGUCGACAAGCCUGAAGAGGAUCUGCAUCGUGCUCGGUGCAUGCUUGUUGAUGGAGAGACAUCUUCGUUUCUCCCAUCUAAACCUCAAGGACGGUUUUUGAGAAUGUUUUUGGGACCUGUGAAUGUUAGAGCUUUGCGUAAAGAUGUUCAGCUUAAAGUUAAAGAAGAAUACAAUAGCUACAGAGACAAGACUGCUCUUCUUUUUCUUUUUUUCCCUGCAACACUUUUAAUCCUUAGAUCUUAUUAUUGGGGUGGUUGUUUGCCUGCGUUUCCUGUCCAGCUUUACGAGGCUUGGCUGUUGUUUCUCUAUGCUGGGUUGGCUAUGCGAGAGAACAUAUUAAGAGUCAAUGGGAGUGAUAUCCGUCCAUGGUGGCUAUAUCAUCACUAUUGUGCCAUGCUUAUGGCCCUUGUCAGCCUCACAUGGGAAAUCAAAGGUCAACCAAACUGUGUCCAGAAACAAAGAGGAGUCCAUCUCUUCCUUCAAUGGGCUAUGAUGCAAGGUGUCGCCAUGCUUCUGCAAAACAGAUACCAACGCCAAAGACUAUACACUCGCAUUGCAUUAGGAAAGGCUAAGAGAAUGGAUGUCGUAUGGGGAGAAACAGCUGGCGUUGAUGGGCAACUAUGGCUGUUAUGUCCUAUACUUUUCCUUUUACAGGUGUUUGAAGCAUACGUUGGACUGCAGUUGCUAAGAAAAACAGUAACUGGAGUUGUUACUGAAUGGCAGGUGAUGGUGUGUGGCAUUCUUCUGGUAGUGAUGGCAGUUGGGAACUUCAUAAACACAGUAGAAACACUAAUGGCAAAGUCAAGAGUUAAGGCAAAGAUGAAGCGAAGUAAAAGCAAAGCAGAGCUUAAUUAGACUUCACAGGUGUACUUUGAGACGAGUCUUUUGAGUCUUUACCUUCUGAUUCCUUCUCAUGUUGGGCACUCCAAGGCUAAGUUUAGGAGGUAUAUGUGAGCGACCUGAGCUCAUUCUCCCUCGCUUCAAGGUAAUAUUUCAGCUGAUUUCUCUCUGCUGGUGUCAUUAAGCAACCUGAGCUCAUUCUCCCUCGCCUUAAGAGAUGCUUCCAUCAGCUCAGCUUCCUUUCUCCUUGUCUCGGUCUCCGCAGUUUGCUUCAGGUCAAUCUUUAACAUUCAUCUCAAAAGCAAAAGACUUCUCAUAUGGGGAAAGCAAAGCAACCUCCUUUUCCCUCGCUUCAAGCUCAGCCAUUAACCCUUGAUGUUUCUGCAUUUCCCCCAUGAUACCUCCAAUAUUUACUCUUUUUUUUUUUUACUAGUA